UACGUAGGGGGCAAGCGUUGUCCGGAAUCAUUGGGCGUAAAGCGCGCGUAGGCGGCCCUGUAAGUCCGUUGUGAAAGUCGAAGGCUCAACCUUCGAAAGCCGAUGGAUACUGCAGGGCUAGAGUCCGGAAGAGGCGAGUGGAAUUCCUGGUGUAGCGGUGGAAUGCGCAGAUAUCAGGGGGAACACCAAUAGCGAAGGCAGCUCGCUGGGACGGUACUGACGCUAAGGCGCGAAAGCGUGGGGAGCAAACAGG
rnacentral:rRNA from 1 species